GAUACAUGCAAAGGGAUGUAGACCAGAGGCCACAGAGACACUGGGAACUGGGGUAUUUUGUGUGAAGAGGACCAGUAUGCAGAGAACCAAACUUGGGGUGAUUUGAGGUCAAGGACAGGAUAUAAAUGAUGCCACAAGAGUCACAGCUCUCCUAAGGCAGCAGUUCACAGACAGCGCUCACUGUGAUGAACAGGGCAGAUGGCUCUCCCAGAUGAGCCACUUCUGCUGCAGAAAGAAACGGACCAUUUGCAUAUGCUGCCUCCAGAACUUCAGAGCCAGAGCACAUCUCCCCUCCUCCAGACUCCCAUGAUGCCUUCGGUAUACCAGACGUCUCAGCCCCAAAGAAACAAAGGCUCCUGUCACAGGAGGGACAACGGUUCCACUGAGCAGGAGGUGAACACACUGCUACCUGGCCUCCAGUGUUCCUCUUGCUUCAGAAUCCAUAGGUGACCGAAGCUGACUACCAACUACCCUGUGAUGGAGAUCCUUGGGACCACCAGACUAGCUGACCUGCAAGCUCCCAGGGUUUCUCCUGCUUCUGCCUCACCUCUCAUCACAAGAACUAUGAGAUUACUGGUAUGCCCUCAUUACAAGGGAUCUGUGGACUUGAACUCAGGUCCUCACGCUUGCCCGAGGGUGCUUCAGCCACUGCACCAUCUCCCUAGUGCAAUUUCGUGUUGGUUGGCUGCAAUGGGCAUUGCCAGUAACUGUAGGUAAAUGGGUGUCUAUAAACAGUUCAGAGUACUUGAUGACUAUUUUAUUCUUAGGUUGUUCAAAUAUUUUCUGGACAAUCUUCCCAAUGUCCCAGUGGGAAUCAUAAAUCAGGUUUGUCAUUUAAAGGGAGAGGGUUAAAUGAACACCUACUGCAUGCAGGCACCUCGCCUACCACACCUCAGUCAAUCCUGACAGAAAGCACCCUACAGUGACGUUGAUAGAGUUUGCUGACCCCAAACUCAGAGCCAUGCCAUGCAUUAAGACCCCCACACAGA